UUUAGCCGGACAGAGGGAACAUAUAUAUGAAUGUCAAACAUAUAAACAUAUGAGGGAAUAUAAACAUAGGAGGGAAUAUAAGCAUAGGAGGGAAUAUAAAGAUAGGAGGGAAUAUAAACAUAAGAGGGAAUAUAAACAUAGGAGGGAAUAUAAACAUAUGAGGGAAUAUAAAUAUAGGAGGGAAUAUAAACAUAGGAGGGAAUAUAAACAUAGGAGGUAAUAUAAACAUAGGAGGGAAUAUAAACAUAGGAGGGAAUUAUAAACAUAAGAGAGAAUAUAAACAUAGGAGGGAAUAUAAACAUAGGAGGGAAUAUAAACACAGGAGGGAAUAUAAACAUAGGAGGGAAUAUAAACAUAGGAGGGAAUAUAAACAUUGGAGGGAAUAAUAAACAUAGGAGGGAAUACAAACGUAGCAGGGAAUAUAAACAUAGGAGGGAAUACAAACAUAGGAGGGAAUAUAAACAUAGGAGGGAAUAAUAAACAUAAGAGGGAAUAUAACAAUUUUACACUAUAAAGAGUAGAAUGUACUGAUACGCAAUAAACUGACUGAAGAAAUUAUGUUUAUAGGGAGCGCCCUUUUUCUUUUUUCUUUUCUCUGGUGAUCGCGGUAAUUACACUCAGACUGGCAAUUAUUAUUUGGCUGAAAAUCAAUGAAAAUUAACUUCAAAAUCCGUGAAUUUGCAUUUCCAGCUUUCCGACAUUUAGACAUUUAUAUAUAUAGUUCUUCUACAACUUUAAACUAUAGCCAGGACCAGGAGGUGAUGUGAUGCUGUUCAAUGAGAAUUCACCUUUUUGGGGACAGGAUCAUCUCCAGAAAGACCGAGCACCACUGGCCACCAUACUCUUCUGAUCUUUUUUCUCUCUUGGAUACAAACAAUGGCUCAUGUAAAGCGGUGUCAGUCCAAAUCCCUUUAAGAUCUGAUAAAUAUUGCGAAUGACUUUUCUCUGAAAAUGGACGAGGCAAUGUUGAGGAAGAUGGCACAUCGCAUCAGGAAGUUUUCUGGCUAUCCCAUGUAUAAUUUCUUGGAAUCUCUGUUAUUUUAUGUCUGUAAUUAGAAGUCUCAUCCUAUGUUGUAUCUGCAUAAACAUUCCGAAGUUUUUUGAAGCCCGAGUAACUUGGCACAAUGAUGAACACAAUCUACAGGUAAUUCUAGUAUUGGUUUAGGGCAGGCAUAAAGUAGACUCAGAGCUAGGUUUAAGGUAGACCCUGGGAUAAUUUUAAGGUAUACUCUGACCUAGGUUUAAGAUAUACCAUGAGCUAGGUUUAAGGUAG